GGGGUGACCCCGCCCUGUGCCCCCAGGCGCCCCCGGGCCUGUCCCCAAGCCGCAGGUGGCCCUGGACAAGGACGAGGCCAUCAAGAAGCUCGAGAGCCUGGAGAAGAAGGAGGAGGAGGUGACAUCCGAGGAGGAGGAGGAGAAGGAGGAGGAAGAAGAGGGCAAGGAGGAGGAGGAGGAGGAGUACGACGAGGAAGAGCACGAGGAGGAGACCGACUACGUGCUGUCCUACUUCGACAACGGGGAGGGCUUCGGGCCCGACAGCGACGACAACGGCGACGAGGCCGUGUACUGAGCCCGA
rnacentral:lncRNA from 1 species